CCCUUUAGUUCACCCCACCGCCACCAGCCGCGAGAGCCCCGAGGAUGGGAGAUCUGGGUGGAUGUCUUCAUCCUGCCCCGAUCCGCUUCGUCCAUGCGUCGGAGCAGUGCUGACCCCCGCCCCGGGGUUCCAGACUCCACUCCCGCCUUCCUCUGACUCCCCGGACCUCCCACUCCCGCCCGCCCUCGGGAUCGACUAGAUCCCUCCCUCUCCCCGAGGAUUCCGGCUGGA